AGGGGUAUAGCUCAGUCGGUAGAGCACCUGCUUAGCAUGCCCAGCCUGCACGAGGUCCUAGGUUCAAUCCCCAGUACCUCCA
rnacentral:tRNA from 1 species